CCUCAGUAAGCAUCUAACUAAAGGACAAAAAGACCCUUUGAAGCUUUAUAGGGAUAAAACUUGGGUAAGAUAUCUAUUCUGCUGGUAUUUUCUUUUUGCGCUCCGUGCUAAAGUAAAAUUAAUACACCCUAGCUU
rnacentral:rRNA from 1 species